AAUGGGAGAUAGCCAAAUUUUAAUUUAUAAAGAAGCAAACACACAUGCAACCUGUAUAUGGAAUAAGCUUUUCCAAUAACUUCUGUGCUGGUGACCCCGGUCCUAUGUCCUUCAAAAGAGGAUAAGUAUAACUUUGAUGCCAAGUUGGAAGAGGUAUGAACCUAAUACAGGCUGUGUGAAAAUAAUGCAAAGAUGUAUGGACGACUGCAAAAGCUUGACAAGUCCAUGUUAGAAUUACAAAAACAAAACAAAACAAAACAAAAAAACUCAAAAAAUCCCACAAAAAUCAAGCAGGAAAAAUCCAAUGCUGAAAAACUUGUCUGAAGAAGAUAAGGAAAUUUUUUUAUAAAAGAACACCUAUAGCUAUUUCCUCUGAAUUGAAACAUUCCCUGCUGGAAGGAUGAGGGAAGUUCCUAAGACUCUCCAAGUAAUUCAGAUCUAUCACCUAUCAGGAUGCUGAGGAAACGUGAAGGCUCGGGAAGCUCAGGAAACUGACAACAUUCACAAAGCUUCUCCACGAGGCUAGAGGAGCAUUUAUGCAAUUUGAGGAGUGUCUUGUAGCUUGUUUCAGCAAAGCACCUUUUGUGAGCUGUCAGCCAUGCGGGGGCGUGGCUUUUCGGUGAUGAAGCUGCUUUUGGGAAUCAUCCAGGGUCCUAAAAACAAUCCCUCACCUAUAUUCCUCACUGGUUUACUAAGCCAGACAUGUAAGGAACUGGUUUUGUUUGUUUGUUUGUUUGUUUGUUUUUUGUUUUUGUUUUUUGUUUGUUUUUGUUUUUUUUUGGGGGUGGUCUGUUGUUGGUGCCUUCUCUGGGGCGAAUAGAUGUUUGCCUCCCUAGGAAAUGUCACAUAACAAAUGUAUUGAAAACAUACUCUCUUGCCAUGUAGGUUGGUGUGAGGAAAGGAAGAAAAAUGAAUAAAAAGAGUAGAGUUAGAUUAAAAAAAAACCCUCUGAAAUAUGACAGAAAAGGGAGGUGUCAGUGUGAAAAUGGGAAAUAUAUUUUCCACAGAAAUUUAAAGCCCAGAGAAUUUGAUAUGGAAAUUCUGACUAGUGUGCUUUUAAAAAGUAAGCAGCUGAGUUAAGAGGUGACCCACUUGCUUCGAUGAUGUCACCAAAAUUUAAAUAUGCAACCCCAUAUCUCCGGAAGGACAGUGCAAGGCCUUUCUAAGAAAUCAGAGUGCUCCUGGCAACCAUCGAGAGAGAUUAAGACACAUAAAUGGUCGUGUGAGCUCAUGGCAACUACAGAGAGUUUUAGCAGAGACCAUGCAAAACUCGUGGAGAUGCAGAUGGCCAGAUUUGGACUUAAAAUCUUGGACAAAGUCAGACCCCUGGUUCCCAUCUGUUGGAAAUCUAUAUAAGAGUUUGGGACCCAACGGAACUUUUAUUUCUUAAAAAAAAAAAAAAAAAAAAAAAAGCUGGGAAGCACUAACUUCACAUCCACAGCAUUUGGUGGGAAUCCCGGAAGUCCCUGAGGAGGGUUUGCUUUAUUAUUUCCCUUUGGGGUCCAACACUUGGAUACCAGUAUUGUUUCAUGACUGAACUGUCCAGUUAACUGAUUCAGGUUAAGGUCACAGGGAUGUAUGUUAAUGAUGGAAGACAACAGAACUCCCAUAAUUUAUUGAAAAGCUCAUGGGGGCCUCUUUUCCACAACUUUUGAUUCAAUAAAUGUAUUUAAAAUGGUCUUCAUGUUGUGGAGUAUGUUAAGAAUAUUAUCAUUUUUGAAAGCAAAUGUUUCUUUAUCACAGAGUUUUCAUUAGCACCCCCCCCCCCCCGUGUCAUUUCAUCUAUGGAAAAAGCUUUGCAUGACAAAACCUCAGUGUUUGAUCAGCCGAUGAUAUGAGUCAGACUGGUUGUAACUCAUAUGUGUCAUACACAGAUAGUCCAUUUGUAUAUUUCAACUCUUGUUUCUUGCAUGUGCUCUCCAUGACGAGUUUUCUACGUGAUCUCAGUAGUGUGGUUAGAGUGUCUCUACCAUGGCGAUCAUAGACAAUGGUGUUCAAAUGCCUUCUUUUAAGGUUCUAGAGUGCUUUGUGAUUGUUUGUUAUAAUGUUGAAACUAUUAGUUAUAAGUAGACCUUUCAGAAAAAAUCUUGGCAGAAAAC
rnacentral:lncRNA from 1 species